UGGGGAAUUUUGGACAAUGGGCGAAAGCCUGAUCCAGCAAUGCCGCGUGUGUGAAGAAGGCCUUCGGGUUGUAAAGCACUUUUGUCCGGAAAGAAAUCCUUGGCUCUAAUACAGUCGGGGGAUGACGGUACCGGAAGAAUAAGCACCGGCUAACUACGUGCCAGCAGCCGCGGUAAUACGUAGGGUGCAAGCGUUAAUCGGAAUUACUGGGCGUAAAGCGUGCGCAGGCGGUUUGCUAAGACCGAUGUGAAAUCCCCGGGCUCAACCUGGGAACUGCAUUGGUGACUGGCAGGCUAGAGUAUGGCAGAGGGGGGUAGAAUUCCACGUGUAGCAGUGAAAUGCGUAGAGAUGUGGAGGAAUACCGAUGGCGAAGGCAGCCCCCUGGGCCAAUACUGACGCUCAUGCACGAAAGCGUGGGGAGCAAACAGGAUUAGAUACCCUGGUAGUCCACGCCCUAAAACGAUGUCAACUAGUUGUUGGGGAUUCAUUUCCUUAGUAACGUAGCUAACGCGUGAAGUUGACCGCCUGGGGAGUACGGUCGCAAGAUUAAAACUUAAAUGAAUUGACGGGGU
rnacentral:rRNA from 1 species